CCGUCGAUAGCUCCGUUGGUAGAGCGGAAGACUGUAGACAAGAAAUCACUGACAUCUUUAGGUCGCUGGUUCGAAUCCGGCUCGACGGG
rnacentral:tRNA from 1 species